CAGCAGCCGCGGUAAUACGUAGGGUGCGAGCGUUAAUCGGAAUUACUGGGCGUAAAGCGUGCGCAGGCGGUUUUGUAAGACAGGCGUGAAAUCCCCGGGCUCAACCUGGGAAUGGCGCUUGUGACUGCAAAGCUAGAGUGCGGCAGAGGGGGAUGGAAUUCCGCGUGUAGCAGUGAAAUGCGUAGAUAUGCGGAGGAACACCGAUGGCGAAGGCAAUCCCCUGGGCCUGCACUGACGCUCAUGCACGAAAGCGUGGGGAGCAAACAGGAUUAGAUACCCCGGUAGUCCCUGUCUCUUAUAC
rnacentral:rRNA from 1 species